GAUGAACGCUGGCGGCGUGCCUAACACAUGCAAGUCGAGCGAGCGGCGGACGGGUGAGUAAUGUCUGGGAAACUGCCUGAUGGAGGGGGAUAACUACUGGAACCGGUAGCUAAUACCGCAUACCAUAAGCUGAGCCCAGAUGGGAUUAGCUUGUAGGUGGGGUAAUGGCUCACCUAGGCGACGAGCCCUAGCUGGUCUGAGAGGAUGACCAGCCACACUGGAACUGAGACACGGUCCAGACUCCUACGGGAGGCAGCAGUGGGGAAUAUUGGACAAUGGGCGCAAGCCUGAUGCAGCCAUGCCGCGUGUGUGAAGAAGGCCUUCGGAUUGUAAAGCACUUUCAGCGAGGAGGCGUUACUCACAGAAGAAGCACCGGCUAACUCCGUGCCAGCAGCCGCGGUAAUUC
rnacentral:rRNA from 1 species